rnacentral:rRNA from 1 species
GGAAUUGACGGGGGCCCGCACAAGCGGUGGAGCAUGUGGUUUAAUUCGACGCAACGCGCAGAACCUUACCAGCCCUUGACAUGUCCAGGACCGGUCGCAGAGAUGUGACCUUCUCUUCGGAGCCUGGAGCACAGGUGCUGCAUGGCUGUCGUCAGCUCGUGUCGUGAGAUGUUGGGUUAAGUCCCGCAACGAGCGCAACCCCGUCCUUAGUUGCUACCAUUUAGUUGAGCACUCUAAGGAGACUGCCGGUGAUAAGCCGCGAGGAAGGUGGGGAUGACGUCAAGUCCUCAUGGCCCUUACGGGCUGGGCUACACACGUGCUACAAUGGCGGUGACAAUGGGAUGCAAAGGGCGACCCCUAGCAAAUCUCAAAAAGCCGUCUCAGUUCGGAUUGGGCUCUGCAACUCGAGCCCAUGAAGUUGGAAUCGCUAGUAAUCGUGGAUCAGCAUGCCACGGUGAAUACGUUCCCGGGCCUUGUACACACCGCCCGUCACACCAUGGGAGUUGGUUUUACCUGAAGACGGUGCGCUAACCGAAAGGGGGCAGCCGGCCACGGUAGGGUCAGCGACUGGGGUGAAGUCGUAACAAGGUAGCCGUAGGGGAACCUGCGGCUGGAUCACCUCCUUUCUG